CGGGAUGUAGCUCAGUUGGCAGAGCGCUCGCUUAAUGAAAGCGAAUGGCCGCAGGUUCGAAUCCUGUCAUCUCGA
rnacentral:tRNA from 1 species